rnacentral:rRNA from 1 species
GACAGAGGGGGCAAGCGUUGCUCGGAAUUACUGGGCGUAAAGGGCGCGUAGGCGGGAAGGCAAGUCGGUCGUGAAAGCCUUCGGCUCAACCGAAGAACGUCGGCCGAUACUGCCGUUCUUGAGGGAUGCAGAGGAGACUGGAAUUCCCGGUGUAGCGGUGAAAUGUGUAGAGAUCGGGAGGAACACCGGUGGCGAAGGCGGGUCUCUGGGCAUCUCCUGACGCUGAGGCGCGAAAGCGUGGGGAGCAAACGGG